ACCAGUGUGGUGUAGUGGUUUGACUGUUGGACUACAGCUCUGAAGACCAGGGUUCCAUUCCCAGCUUGGCCA